UACGUAGGGGGCAAGCGUUGUCCGGAUUUAUUGGGCGUAAAGAGCGUGUAGGCGGCUUGACAAGUCUGCUGUGAAAACUCGAGGCUCAACCUCGAGAUGUCGGCGGAAACUGUCUGGCUAGAGUCCGGAAGAGGAGAGUGGAAUUCCUGGUGUAGCGGUGAAAUGCGCAGAUAUCAGGAAGAACACCAAUGGCGAAGGCAGCUCUCUGGGACGGCACUGACGCUGAGACGCGAAAGCGUGGGGAGCGAACAGG
rnacentral:rRNA from 1 species